rnacentral:misc_RNA from 1 species
AAUAAAGAUCGACGACUUAUACGGGGGUAGUCGGAGAUAAAAGGUAAAUAUUGCGUAUUUAUGAAUUAAUGUCAGCUUUAAUGAAAAUCUAUUUGAUAUGCGUACCUACAAGUACAAAAACAGAUAUAUGUAUAAACUUCUAAUACCUUGCCAUCAUCUUUAAAAAACAUAUUUACAUAGAUAUUUUUACAAGUAAAAUACCAAUGUAUUGUAGGCAAGGGAGUAGGAAACAUGACAUUGUAUUGGAAUUCAAAAAAACCAUAACGGUAAUCAAUAGAAAAUUGUGGAAUACAAUUAAACGAGGCUUGGUGUUAAACAAAUUAAACAUCAAAUCUUCCUAAAAUUUUCAAAUAUGAUGUCCUUAUCUUGGAACCAUUUUUAGUUAAGAAAUAGUAUAUAUUUUUUCUUUAAAUUUUGGCAUUUUCCUAUGUUUUAGAUGAAGCUCUCCUUUUAAAAGAGAUCAAUAAAGUCUAAAAAUGGCGACAAUCAUCGAGCCCUCUUAAACAAAAACCGUACAGAGUAAAAAAAAAUAGUUUUUAAAUCUCGCUUUGUUUUUGUGUAGGGGUGCUAGUGAUCAGAGAUCCUUAAAUCCAGUAGCUGUUUUGACCAGAAAAAUUCCAAAUUACUUUCAUGUAAAAUGGUAUCAAAAAAAAAAGAAACAACCCAACUUAAAUUAAACUUUAAAAGUAAAAUCAUAAAUAGAUAGAAAUAUAAAAAUCAUGAUAGUACAUGUACAUAAUCAUCAAAUUAUAAAAAUCUUACUUCAAUUCUAUUUCCAAUCUUCAAGUUCGAAUGAUGCAGAUAUGCAGGCUCCUUCAAAUUCUUUCCCAAAAUAGUUCUCAAAUUUGAAAAAUGAAUUGGUAAAUAAAAUACAUCAAAAAAUUAAAUAUGAUAACAAAUAUUAUUUCCAAAAUGUUGCCAUUUUAUGAUGAAUACUAUUUUUCUGAUAAAGCAUUUAUAUCUCACCGUAUUCAUUAUUUUAAAAUAACUGAUUUUCUUUCCUUACUUGCAUGGAAAUUAUUCAUUAUUGUUUCUUAAUUCUUCGAAAAAGAAGUCUUAUUGAUAUCAGUUCCGGAGUGUAAAAAUUUCACAUAAUGUUUCUUCUUCAAAUUAUUUUAUUUAUCAGGAUGAACACUUAAUAGUUUCGUUAAAUGUACAGCCAUUGAUAAUUUGUUUUUUUAGAAUGGCAUCUUAAAACACGCAUUUAUUUAUCAUUUUUUAAUUUUUUAUAAAUUUCUUAAAAAAAAGACAAUCCCCCAAAAUAGUUAAGAAAGUAUUAACAUUCUAGUAGUUACCCAGAUCUCGUUCAAAAUCUAAAAGGUGCAUGAUAAACUCGGAACUUUUUGCAAAGAUAAUUUAAAAGGCCUGUUUGCUAGAAAAAAAUUUCAGUGGACAGAACAUGGAGAAAAACCCACAAAAUACUUUUUAAGUCUACACAAGUCUAAGUCUACAUAAAAUAAACUAUUUCGUCAAAACUUUAUGCAGGAUUUUGCAGACGAUAACAUUGUUACACUGAAGUUAUAGACGUCUUGGCAGAUAUUUCAGAUUAUUUCAUGUACAAGACAUUAUACUCAUGUAUAGUGAUAGCAAAUUUGCAAACUUGGAUAACACCAUCAAUACUAAGAAUAUUAACAUGUUGGAUUCAAAAUCAUCCAAAAAACUUGAAAAUGUCAUUCUAAAAGAGUAAGCCCUAUCAACUAAGAAAAAAAAUAAUGGAAGCCCUGAAAGUGAUGGGUUAAAUGUUUUACAAACUCUUCUAAAAAGAAUUUGAACCUUAACUUUUUAAAUAGAUCUCCUAAUUAUGAAAUAUUGGGCAAAUAAUCAGUAACCCAAAAGCAAGGUCAUCACUUCUUCCGAAAGAAGACAAGCCAAAAAAUUUC